GGCUUAGAGUUUGAUCAUGGCUCAGGAUGAACGCUGGCGGCGUGCCUAACACAUGCAAGUCGGGCGAAGCACUUUACUUCGAUUCUUUCGGGAUGAAGAGUGAUUUGACUGAGCGGCGGACGGGUGAGUAACGCGUGGGUAACCUGCCUCACACAGGGGGAUAGCAGUUAGAAAUGACUGCUAAUACCGCAUAAGACCACAGCACCGCAUGGUGCAGGGGUAAAAACUCCGGUGGUGUGAGAUGGACCCGCGUCUGAUUAGCUAGUUGGUAAGGUAACGGCUUACCAAGGCGACGAUCAGUAGCCGACCUGAGAGGGUGACCGGCCACAUUGGGACUGAGACACGGCCCAAACUCCGACGGGAGGCAGCAGUGGGGAAUAUUGCACAAUGGGGGAAACCCUGAUGCAGCGACGCCGCGUGAGCGAAGAAGUAUUUCGGUAUGUAAAGCUCUAUCAGCAGGGAAGAAACUGACGGUACCUGACUAAGAAGCACCGGCUAAAUACGUGCCAGCAGCCGCGGUAAUACGUAUGGUGCAAGCGUUAUCCGGAUUUACUGGGUGUAAAGGGAGCGUAGACGGAUAGGCAAGUCUGGAGUGAAAGCCCGGGGCUCAACCCCGGGACUGCUUUGGAAACUGUUUAUCUAGAGUGCUGGAGAGGUAAGUG
rnacentral:rRNA from 1 species